rnacentral:lncRNA from 1 species
AAUGAUUCUGGCAGGGGCCAAGUUUAAGAAAUUCAUAAGCCGGGAAAUUUUGAUGAAAAGAAAUUGUUUGGUAUAGAUUGAAAUGAAAUUUGUGUUAUGAACAUUAUUGAGAUAUAACGUUUUUAUAUUGUCUCCAUCUACUCGACUUUAGAUGCUUUUGAUGGUAAUUGUUUACUCACUACGAUUAUUUAAUCUCACCCCUCUUCCUAUCCAUUUUUCAGGCUCAGGACAGUUUGUUGAUAGUUGAUUAAGACGAGAAUUAAUCUCAGAGUUGCAUCCUAGAAAGUAAGGGUUCAUAGCCCUACAUCUUCUUAGUCAGUUGGGGGCCCACGUGUCACUGUAAAAGUAAUUUUAUUUUUUAGUUAUUUGAUUUAAAGUAUGUAUGAAUAUAUUUAGCUUUUACACCAUAUUUUUGGCGAGUUUCGGUAUUUUCAAAAAAAAAUGACGAAAAUGCCCUUGUGAGCCAGAAAGUAAUAUUUUAUUGUUUUGAUUUGGAAAUGACUUAUGAUUUUUUUGAAAUGUGAGAUU